UCCAACAAUCUUAACCCAUGGCACUACAUUAAAAUACAAUACAUUUUUGUUUUAAAGCCUAAUUAUUUGGACGUGUUGCAAACAUCAUACGCUUUUUCAGCCCCUCCACUCCAAAAUGAAUUUGAAGAUUGACUGGACUUUAGGCUACUGAAGAUACCUAACCAAGACAUUUCGAUGAUGACUUUUGCCAUGCUGCGGCCCAUGGCCACUCAUCUGGUCUACCCAGAUCUUAGUAUGAUGUCUGAGGAUGAAGAGAACCGAAGUGAGAGCGACGGAAGUUCGGAUCAGAGCUAUGGAUGUUGUGCCACCACAGAAAAAAGACGGAGGAUGUCAAGAAAAUCUGGAGGGAACAGUGUUGUCAUUGUAAAGCAGAGGAACGCAGCCAAUGCACGGGAGCGAGACCGAACCCAAAGCGUCAACACAGCAUUUACUGCGCUUCGGACUCUGAUUCCCACAGAGCCGGUGGAUAGAAAGUUAUCCAAAAUAGAGACACUUCGCCUGGCAUCCAGCUACAUUUCACAUCUAGCCAACGUGCUGCUGGUCGGAGAUGGCAACGGUGAUGGACAACCCUGUCUUGGCGCAGUUUACGCACAAGGAGACAGCGGUGGAAAGCAACCGCGCACAAUCUGCACCUUCUGUUUAAGCAACCAAAGAAAAGGGAUAAAAGAUGGGAAAGAUUGUCUAAAAAUGAGAAGCGUUGGUUCACUGCGAAUGAGUCGCAAAACAGAACACAGCUAACACCGUCAUCAGCUCAAGCCCAAGUCCUCACAUUCUCAGGGAACAUUUAAAGCUGGUCAAAGAUACACAUACAUAUGCUGGACAAAAAGAUGGAAAUAGGCUACAGUGACUAUUUAUACUUGAUAAAUACUGAAGAUGUGCUGUGAGAAACAAGGCCUGUGAUGCACAAGCCUUUAAAGAAUGCAGUGCAUUUACAGAAUGUAUUGAUUUGUAAUUUUUUGUAUUUUGUGAACAACACUUGUAUACUACAGUGUACCACAUAAAAUAAAGUAUAUUUUUAUCUAGAUGAAUUUACAGGGACUUAUGUAUUUUAUUUGAUCCUGAAACGACGUGACUUUUCCUCAGUCCAGUUUCAUCAUAAAUGUAAUUAAGCUGCUUUUGAACGCCUGUCUGAAUAUUUAUUGUAGAAUUCCUGAAAAUGUUUUUAUUUUUUCCACCUAGAAACAUCAUAAACAUUCGCUAAUAAAACAUUUCAUGAUGUUUGAUUUAAAUGUCAAAAUGCCUGUUAUGGAUUUAAAUGACUAAAUGUUUUAGUGACGAUCUUUAAUGACAAACAAGUAACAUAUUUUCAAAGCAUGAUAACGUGUUAAAUAAAUGUGUUUAACGUUUUUAAAUGUUAAUGUAAAAAAGGGUUAUUAUUCAGCCUUUUAUUUUUGAAGAUCAUACUAUUUACAACAUGUGUAUGUCUACAUUUCUACAAGUAAUCCACAGACAAGAGAGAACAGAAAACGUUUUUAAAAUCAAUGCAAUGCUUAUUGUAGCUCGUAUUUUAAGAACAACAUAGAUUGUCUAUGAUAUGUGGGACAUCAGCAGGGGGCAAGGCAUUUAUUUCACAGAGUAUGCUUGAUUAGAGAGGGGUCUGCACUUCUACAAAGUGCCCAUUUUAAAUUACAUCUCUGUUUCUGUUGCUCUCUCUCUCUGUCUCUCUCUCUCUUUCUCUCUGUCUCUCUCUCUCUCUCUCUCUCUCUCUCUCUAUCUCUCUCUCUCUCUCUCUCUCUCUCUCUUAUUUCCAAUAGCUUUGCCAAGAAGUUGUUUAUGAAGUCUACAGAGCCAUAGCAAAGGGUCAGGGUUUCUUGUGUCAUUGACUGGUGUAUUUUUGCAAAUCUCACGGUUGCCAUUUUUGAAGUCUGGUAUCGAUUAGUCAUGGCAAAUAGUAGCCCUCUCUCUGCUUAGAGCCUUCCAGACAGCUGUGGGGAUGUCGAAGGUAUAAAUCACUGGUGUGGGCCUAGUGGACAGGGAGGUGGGGUGAGAGGUUGGAGGUCUUGGUGGAACACAAAAAACAAAGCUAAAGAAAUGAAACAAGAUCCGGUUGACAUCUUGACACAGUCCUCCACCAUGCUGUUGAAUUACUGGUUUUUAAACAUAUAUGAGGAGCCCCAAUCCCUCCCCACUUUCCCUGUCCGGCUCUGCCUGACAAUUUUCUUUGGUCAGACCCUCAUACUCCAGUCCCAGGGCUCGUCAAAUGGCUCCCUGCAGGCUCCCCAAGCAGGAAGAUGUCACAGAGGCACAGGAAGGAAAAACAUGCACAGUCGACCUCUCUGAGGUACUCUCUGUGCGGCACGCUCUGGGUCAACACCUGCCUUGACAUCAUCCGGCGCUGGGACCCAGAUGUACAGCUCUCUGUGGUACUUAAUGGCUUGCAUCUCCCUACAGCCCAAAAAGAACUCCUGCAGGAAGACUUUCAGCAGGGGUGAAAUGGAGCUAGACAGCACUUCCAUCCCUCUCAGUCUGACACCUGAGAUGAAUGUCCUACAUAUGGGUUCUACUUUUGUGAGAGGAGAAAUAAAUAUAUAUAAUUAUUUUUGUUUUUUAUGUCAUUUAUUCAUCACCAUUACUU